rnacentral:rRNA from 1 species
UACGAAGGGGGCUAGCGUUGCUCGGAAUGACUGGGCGUAAAGGGCGCGUAGGCGGAUGGCACAGUCAGAUGUGAAAUUCCCGGGCUUAACCUGGGGGCUGCAUUUGAUACGUGUUGUCUUGAGUUCGGAAGAGGGUCGUGGAAUUCCCAGUGUAGAGGUGAAAUGCGUAGAGAUCGGGAGGAACACCAGUGGCGAAGGCGGCUACCUGGACCAGCACUGACACUGAAGCACGAAAGCGUGGGGAGCAAACAGG